GUAUGGGAACUGUCUACCUGGCUGUCCCACCCAUCAUUACAUAGUUGCCAGACUUCACUGGACUCAUGUGUCUGGCUGUGCAGGCAUCUCUUCCUCCUUCACUGAUAUUUGUGGGUUCCUCCUGAAGCUUCACAAAAGGUUUAAAAAGGAUGCCCUUCCCAAACAGAGGAGGACUCACCUUUAGUCAAAGGUAUAUGAGUAACUGAAUUCCCCUGCUAGAACCCCCAAACAAGCUCUCAAAGAUUUAAAACACACAUUGCUUCCUGUGAUAUUCUUUUUUGUCCCACAGCACUACAGUUUAGGGAUUACAUACAAUGAAGGGGUAAGAGGGGAUGAACAGGGCAUAAAGCCACCUCCCUUAGAAU
ensembl:misc_RNA 7SK 7SK RNA